AAGGGAAUAUCCUAAACAAGAUUUAAAAGUCUUAGAGUUGGAAAGAUCUAACCAAUGGGAAGCAAUCCAUAAGACAAGAAUGUCAGAUAGAAACCCAUUUCCUUUGGACUUUAAGCAAGCAACAAGCAUAAUCAUCCAAGCAAUUAAUAUGAAGACCAAUGGUAUCAAAUAAAGAUAACCAAACAUCCAAGCAAGCCUCCAAAAGCAAGCGGUCUU
rnacentral:lncRNA from 1 species